UGGGGAAUCUUGGACAAUGGGCGCAAGCCUGAUCCAGCCAUGCCGCGUGAGCGAUGAAGGCCUUAGGGUUGUAAAGCUCUUUCACCGGUGAAGAUAAUGACGGUAGCCGGAGAAGAAGUCCCGGCUAACUCCGUGCCAGCAGCCGCGGUAAUACGGAGGGGACUAGCGUUGUUCGGAAUUACUGGGCGUAAAGAGUUCGUAGGCGGACUAGCAAGUUAGAGGUGAAAUCCCAGGGCUCAACCUUGGAACUGCCUUUAAAACUGCUAGUCUAGAGACCGGAAGAGGUUAGGGGAAUACCUAGUGUAGAGGUGAAAAUUCGUAGAUAUUAGGUGGAACACCAGUGGCGAAGGCGCCUAACUGGUCCGGUACUGACGCUGAGGAACGAAAAGCGUGGGGAGCAAACAGGAUUAGAUACCCUGGUAGUCCACGCCGUAAACGAUGAGUGCUAGAUGUUGGGAUUUUCGGAUUUCAGUGUCGCAGCUAACGCAUUAAGCACUCCGCCUGGGGAGUACGGCCGC
rnacentral:rRNA from 1 species